UUGGCUGCACAGCAGUCAUCAACAUAAAACCCUUCAGUGCUGGAACUGUGCUUGAGUGUGAGUUGGCAAACUACAUCUCUGCAUAUAGAUCUGUGCCUGUUUUUGACUAUCUUCAUUUGCAACAGAACACGUAAUGCUCUUUACAUGAGUGGCACCUAUGGAGGAGCAGAUAUUUGGAGUUACAACAGAACAAUCUGCUGCUACUAUGGCAAAAUGAAGAAACUGGAAACAAGUUGCAGGAAUGACAGUUGGCUGGAAACAACACUGGAAGCAAGAUGUUAACAGUUCUUCCUUUUGUCUUUCAAGUGUGUACUAAGAUGCUCUGAUAUGAGGAGCCAUUGCACGUAUUGCUGCUUGCACUUUCAGCGAUGCCAUGAGGAUUAAACAGUAUGAGCAUAGUGUGUGCUUCACAAAACUAGCCACAGCAUCAGUAAAUAGGCCAAACAUAGUAUUCAUAAAAUGACUGUGUAGCAGUACCAGAGUGAACCCAGGGCUAACUUCACUGCUUCCUAGACUAGUUCUGUUGAUCAAAAGAAUAAACAUUUUCAGGUACAGUUUUGAUUGGAAAACUUAUGCUCAUAUCUAUGCUUGCUGCAUUUGCCAGUUAUGCAGCGGUUAAUUGCAAUGUUGUAUUGUCAGGAAUUUAGCAGAAUCGUUUGCCACUAUUACAAUACUUGUAGAUAUUAAGUAAGCAACAGUUACUAGUAUGCAAAAUCUGAAAGUAGUAAUUUGUCGUCUUACAGCAAAUGUAUCAUAGCCUCAAUACCAUAUGUAAAGACUAUUAUUUCCUCCAUUUUCCCAGGUGUAUGAGUGAUUAUAAGACCACUUGUUUCAAAAGUUAAGGAAUUUGCUAAUAAAAAUAAACUUAAUGAAUUAUUCAUAGAUCAAA